rnacentral:rRNA from 1 species
GACGAACGCUGGCGGCGUGCUUAACACAUGCAAGUCGAACGGAAAGGCCCUGCUUUUGUGGGGUGCUCGAGUGGCGAACGGGUGAGUAACACGUGAGUAACCUGCCCUUGACUUUGGGAUAACUUCAGGCAACUGGGGCUAAUACCGGAUAGGAGCUCCUGCUGCAUGGUGGGGGUUGGAAAGUUUCGGCGGUUGGGGAUGGACUCGCGGCUUAUCAGCUUGUUGGUGGGGUAGUGGCUUACCAAGGCUUUGACGGGUAGCCGGCCUGAGAGGGUGACCGGCCACAUUGGGACUGAGAUACGGCCCAGACUCCUACGGGAGGCAGCAGUGGGGAAUAUUGCACAGUGGGCGGAAGCCUGAUGCAGCAACGCCGCGUGCGGGAUGACGGCCUUCGGGUUGUAAACCGCUUUCGCCUGUGACGAAGCGUGAGUGACGGUAAUGGGUAAAGAAGCACCGGCUAACUACGUG